rnacentral:rRNA from 1 species
UGGGGAAUUGUUCGCAAUGGGCGCAAGCCUGACGACGCAACGCCGCGUGGAGGAUGAAGGUCUUCGGAUUGUAAACUCCUGUUGCCCGGGACGAAAUGUUCAGACCUAAUACGUCUGAGUUUGACGGUACCGGGUGAGGAAGCCCCGGCUAACUCUGUGCCAGCAGCCGCGGUAAUACAGAGGGGGCAAGCGUUGUUCGGAAUUACUGGGCGUAAAGGGCGCGUAGGCGGCCCUCUAAGUCGAACGUGAAAUCCCUGGGCUCAACCCAGGAACUGCGUCCGAGACUGUGUUGCUGGAGUACGGAAGAGGAGGGCGGAAUUCCCUGUGUAGCGGUGAAAUGCGUAGAUAUCGGGAGGAACAUCAGUGGCGAAGGCGGCCCUCUGGUCCAGUACUGACACUCAAGUGCGAAAGCGUGGGGAGCAAACAGGAUUAGAUACCCACGUAGUCCCUGAGCGGGCUGGCAAGGCGCAU